rnacentral:rRNA from 1 species
GUCUGAGAGGAUGAUCAGCCACACUGGGACUGAGACACGGCCCAGACUCCUACGGGAGGCAGCAGUGGGGAAUUUUGGACAAUGGGCGAAAGCCUGAUCCAGCCAUGCCGCGUGCAGGAUGAAGGCCUUCGGGUUGUAAACUGCUUUUGUACGGAACGAAAAGCCUCUUUCUAAUAAAGAGGGGUCAUGACGGUACCGUAAGAAUAAGCACCGGCUAACUACGUGCCAGCAGCCGCGGUAAUACGUAGGGUGCAAGCGUUAAUCGGAAUUACUGGGCGUAAAGCGUGCGCAGGCGGUUUUGUAAGACAGAGGUGAAAUCCCCGGGCUCAACCUGGGAACUGCCUUUGUGACUGCAAGGCUGGAGUGCGGCAGAGGGGGAUGGAAUUCCGCGUGUAGCAGUGAAAUGCGUAGAUAUGCGGAGGAACACCGAUGGCGAAGGCAAUCCCCUGGGCCUGCACUGACGCUCAUGCACGAAAGCGUGGGGAGCAAACA